GCCGAGGGUGAGGGAGGAAAUUGAGGGAGGUUAUCACUGACCCGAUUGAGUGAGGGAUUUUGUGAGGAUUCCACUGACAUGAUUGACUGAGGAUGGUCUGACAUUCGGUAAGGCAAAAAUAGAAAGAGAGAGGCGGGUUGCAGAGGCAGAGAGAAAGAGGGAGGGGUGGGGGCACUGAACAGUAGCAAGUAAGGCUCUUCUAACAGGAGCAACCAAGGUGUUUUGAUGCUUUAUUUUGGCGGUGAAAGGAAGGGUCACAUGUAGAGAGAGAGGUUUCCUUUCGCGCACAUUGUUGUUUCCAUCCGUUUCAAUCGCUUCGACAGCAAGCCGCCGCCACCACCACCUAGAACAAAAAAUAAACACCCGCCACUGCUCUUCAGCCAUCGUCUCCGGCGAUCCAUUCAAAUCUCCGAUCGAAAUAGAGAGAAACUUAGGGAAAGACGAGCGACGUAUUCAAAGGGUACGAGCGCCACUAAAUUGAGCUCUCUGCCAACCUCAUCAAAAAGUGUGGUUUUGACAUGGAGGAGAAACUGCAAGAGGUUAUGAUCUUGCUGCACUUAAGUACAACUGUUCUUCAACUCAUAUAAACUUUCCGGAAUAAGGGCUCGCCCUCAGGUGGAUGAUGAAGCUGGUACUGCGUCAAAUCUAUGCCCUCAAUGUGGUACUGAAUAUGGUGGGGUUUGCAAUCAAAGCACUAUCCAUCUGCAAUGUCAAGCAUGCGAAGGAAUGACGCCUCAUGAAGUAAUAACAGUGUACCUCAACACUGUUUAGGAUGUGAUCAGGCAUUUUGUGGUACAUAUUGGCACGCAGGGGUUGCACAAAGUGAUUCUCGCUGUGUGUGCAUUCGCGAGACUUUUAAACCAAUCUCAGAACUGACCAUCUCUAGAAUCCCUACUUCCGCACAUGAAAACAAUCGACAUGAACAAGUUAUCACUGAGAAAUGUAUUGCACUGUUGGGAAGAACAUUGCAGGAUGUUAUUGCAGAAUGGCUUGCAAAGUUGAACAACAGAGAAAUUGAUCGAACGAGGAUGCCCCAGAAUCAUGCUGAGGCAAUAACUUCUGGGACACCUACGUGCAAUUACUGUUAUGAGAAGCUGAUCUCCUUGCUCUUGUACUGGUUUCGGAUUUCGAUUCCCAAAUAUCAUCUACCCACAGAGGCAUCAAACAGGGAAAAUUGCUGGUAUGGAUAUGCAUGUCGGACACAGCACCAUAAUGAAGAACAUGCUCAUAAAAGAAAUCAUGUGUGCCGGCCAACUAGGGGCACUUAUAUGUAGAUCUUCUUUCUCUUGUUUCCUCUGUUUUGAGAAUUAGAAAUUUAUUACAAGCUUAUCUUCUCUGGUACUACUGAGAUUUUCUGGCA